rnacentral:tRNA from 1 species
GAGGGUGUAGUUUCGUGGUAGAGUGUGUGCCUAGCACGCAUGAGGUCCUGGGUUCAAUCCUCAGUACCUCCA